CUUUGUUUGCUCCUGAGAGGAAGGCAGCCACCCCAAGGUCAGCGCCAGGCAAUGGUACUUCCAGAGGAUGGCGACUGACAAUCUAGUCCUUGGACUCUACCGAGGACCAAGAGCCCCAUAGGUUUCUUCUCUCAUGACUGGCCCAGGCCACAGGACCAUGUUUCAUCCAGUUUCUGCUGCAGAGACAGAUGAUGCUCAGGUCGAUGAUGUCUGUUUCUGGAGCUGGAGCUAACUAAGACUAAGAGACAUUCUCCUGGAAAGCUGGAAAAAGAAAAAGGAACACAAAGUGGAAUUUUUCUGGGACUAGAAAUCUCAAAGAGGAUCACGGAAGUAUCUGUAAAAUUAGUGAAGAAAGACAUGAAGUUCAAGGUAGGGAUAUCUGAGUGGAAGGAACUUCCCUCAUUGAGAGAGAAAGAUAGGCUCAUCUGAAGAAUAAGUUUGUGUCUAAGUUUCUUGUACAUACCCACAAAAGGGAUACAUAGAAGAACCACAGUAUAAUAGAAAACAAAGGAGCAUUUUCAUAAAUUAAAACAGGGUCAGCUCCUAUAUUUGAGAGGUCCACAGAGUUAUGUUACAGCCCUGUUAAAGGGCCCAAAGAAAAGUGUUGCAAUUCCUCUUUGGCUUGAGACUGACUGAAGGAGAGAAAGGUGUUUCACUUUAAUCCCAAGGACCUCUAAUGCUUCAAGUGCAUAUUCACCAUACACAGAGGAGGGGCCUUGAGGAAUAAGAUUACAUGAUCCUGGAGGGCAGGACGUUGGCCUUUGUCUUUGGUUUGUUUCUUGACAGCAUGGCAUAUUGGAUGAACA
rnacentral:lncRNA from 1 species